UACGGGGGGGGCAAGCGUUGUUCGGAAUCACUGGGCUUAAAGGGCGCGUAGGCGGGUCGGCAAGUCAGGGGUGAAAUCGUUCGGCUUAACCGGACAACUGCCUUUGAUACUGCCGGCCUUGAGGGAGGUAGGGGUCUGCGGAACUUCCGGUGGAGCGGUGAAAUGCGCAGAUAUCAGGAGGAACACCGAUGGCGAAGGCAGGUCUCUGGGCCGAUACUGACGCUGAGGAGCGAAAGCGUGGGGAGCAAACAGG
rnacentral:rRNA from 1 species